rnacentral:rRNA from 1 species
UACGUAGGGUGCAAGCGUUGUCCGGAUUUAUUGGGCGUAAAGAGCGUGUAGGCGGUUCGGUAGGUCCGUUGUGAAAACUCGAGGCUCAACCUCGAGACGCCGGUGGAAACCAUCAGGCUAGAGUCCGGAAGAGGAGAGUGGAAUUCCUGGUGUAGCGGUGAAAUGCGCAGAUAUCAGGAAGAACACCCGUGGCUAAGGCGGCUCUCUAGUACGGUACUGACGCUGAGACGCGAAAGCGUGGGGAGCGAACAGG